GCAGACACAUUCCAGUCAAUCAGCAGCAGACCCUCCCUCCCAGACCCUCCCACCUCCUGGAUACCAUCCAUUUUACAUUCAUUGUGAAGCUGCAUUCUUAGUGAGCUGUCCAGGAGGUGGGAGGGUCUGGGAGGGAGGGUCUGCUGCUGAUUGGCUGGAAUGUGUCUG